rnacentral:rRNA from 1 species
CAUAAGCGCACAGUACCGCAUGGUACGGUGUGAAAAACUCCGGUGGUAUGAGAUGGACCCGCGUCUGAUUAGCUAGUUGGUGGGGUAACGGCCCACCAAGGCGACGAUCAGUAGCCGACCUGAGAGGGUGACCGGCCACAUUGGGACUGAGACACGGCCCAGACUCCUACGGGAGGCAGCAGUGGGGGAUAUUGCACAAUGGAGGAAACUCU